rnacentral:tRNA from 1 species
GCGCCGGGCGGGACGGCUGCCGCGUCCCGCUGCCGUGGGAGGGCGAGGAGCCGCCGUUCGGCUUCGGCGCCGGCGAA